AUUGAACGCUGGCGGCAUGCCUUACACAUGCAAGUCGAACGGCAGCACGGGUGCUUGCACCUGGUGGCGAGUGGCGAAAGGGUGAGUAAUACAUCGGAACAUGUCCUGUAGUGGGGGAUAGCCCGGCGAAAGCCGGAUUAAUACCGCAUACGAUCCACGGAUGAAAGCGGGGGACCUUCGGGCCUCGCGCUAUCGGGUUGGCCGAUGGCUGAUUAGCUAGUUGGUGGGGUAAAGGCCUACCAAGGCGACGAUCAGUAGCUGGUCUGAGAGGACGACCAGCCACACUGGGACUGAGACACGGCCCAGACUCCUACGGGAGGCAGCAGUGGGGAAUUUUGGACAAUGGGCGAAAGCCUGAUCCAGCAAUGCCGCGUGUGUGAAGAAGGCCUUCGGGUUGUAAAGCACUUUUGUCCGGAAAGAAAUCCUUGGCUCUAAUACAGUCGGGGGAUGACGGUACCGGAAGAAUAAGCACCGGCUAACUACGUG
rnacentral:rRNA from 1 species